CAGUCGCCGCGGUAAAACGAGGGGGGCAAGCGUUGUUCGAAAUUAUUGGGCGUAAAGGGUGCGUAGGCGGUUCAGCAAGUCUCGUGUGAAAUCUUCGGGCUCAACCCGAAGUCUGCACGGGAAACUACUGGGCUUGAGUAAUGGAGAGGUGAGUGGAAUUUCAGGUGUAGCGGUGAAAUGCGUAGAUAUCGGAAGGAACACCUGUGGCGAAAGCGGCUCACUGGACAUUUACUGACGCUGAUGCACGAAAGCUAGGGGAGCAAACAGGAUUAGAUACCCGCGUAGUCCCUGUCUCUUAUAC
rnacentral:rRNA from 1 species